rnacentral:rRNA from 1 species
GUUAUGAAAUAUUAUUCAAGUUAUUUUGUAUCUGGUUCUCUGAGAGAUUUGAUUGGUUGCAGUAUUGUUAGGUCGGUGAGCAGGGAUUAGCUUGCUUAUCGUUUGUAUGCGUUAAUAGGGUAAUUUUGUUUAUGGAGUUGAUAGUGCUUAUUUUUAAGGAGUUAUUUUUGGACAGAGGUUUUGGAUUAUUAUUUUGUCGUUAUGUAAUUAUUAGGGUUACUUUAUUAACUUUUUUUGGUGUAAUAAUGAUUAUAUUAGUAAUAUUUUAUUUAUUUUGGCAAGGUUUUAUGGAAGAGUGAUAAUUGGUCUUUAAUUUUUGAUUAGAAUAGAUGAACUCGGCAAAGUUAAUUCUUGACUGUUUAGCAAAAACAUUGUUUUUUGUAGGAUUAAAAAAUAAGUUCUGUCCACUGCUAUUAGGUGAAGGGCUGCAGUAUUUUGACUGUAUGAAGGUAGCAUAAUCAUUAGCUUUUUAAUUAGGGGCUGGUAUGAAGGUGAAACAAGGAUUGUCUAUAUUUGUUCUAUUUAUUGAAUUUUAUGUUUGUGUGAAAAAUCAUGAUUGAAUUAGAGGGACAAGAAGACCCUAAUAAGUUUUAUUUUUUUAUCUUAUGAUAGUAUAGGAAUUAUUUAUUUGACUGGAGUAGAGGGGUUUAGCUGGGGCGGCUGUUUAUUUAACAUAAGCAAAUUUUUAACUUUAUUUGGC